UACGUAUGGAGCAAGCGUUAUCCGGAUUUACUGGGUGUAAAGGGUGCGCAGGUGGUUUGGCAAGUCAGAAGUGAAAACCCGGGGCUCAACUCCGUGGAUUGCUUUUGAAACUGUCGGACUAGAGUCCAGGAGAGGUAAGCGGAAUUCCUAGUGUAGCGGUGAAAUGCGUAGAUAUUAGGAGGAACACCAGUGGCGAAGGCGGCUUACUGGACUGGUACUGACACUGAGGCACGAAAGCGUGGGGAGCAAACAGG
rnacentral:rRNA from 1 species